CGCACUGGCAUAAGUCGUUUGAUGUCCAUUAAGAAGGAACAUCCUGGCUCAACACUCUCCACUACUGCACAUACGUCAUCCAGAAGAACCCAUUCACCUUGCUGGACUGAAUGGAGCUUAGCACUACCUCAGCAGCUGUGUGUGUCUAUGUGUGCCUGGAUUGCAGAGGGAGAGCCACCAUAUAGACGGGCCAGGAAACAAACCAGCUUUAAGGUCAUAUCACCAACAAGGAUGUUUCCAACAAAACAAACAAGCUCCUUUGGGCCAUCUGACUUCAGCAUUCUCCUGACUGUCAGCAAAAGUGAAUGAAGAUCUCUGGCAAGCAGUCAGUGCAUCUCCUCAGCACAAUGUCUGGAGUCUCAGACUGAGAAGUGGUGAUUACAGCUGAUGGAGUGCAGCCAACCAGCCACGGCCUGACU